UUGGGGGAUAUUGCACAAUGGGGGAAACCCUGAUGCAGCGACGCCGCGUGAAGGAAGACGUACUUCGGUAUGUAAACUUCUAUCAGCAGGGAAGAAGAUGACGGUACCUGACUAAGAAGCCCCGGCUAACUACGUGCCAGCAGCCGCGGUAAUACGUAGGGGGCAAGCGUUAUCCGGAUUUACUGGGUGUAAAGGGAGCGUAGACGGUGAAGCAAGUCUGAUGUGAAAACCCGGGGCUCAACUCCGGGAUUGCAUUGGAAACUGUUUUACUUGAGUGCUGGAGGGGCAAGCGGAAUUCCUGGUGUAGCGGUGAAAUGCGUAGAUAUCAGGAAGAACACCGGUGGCGAAGGCGGCUUGCUGGACAGUAACUGACGUUGAGGCUCGAAAGCGUGGGGAGCAAACAGGAUUAGAAACCCGAGUAGUCC
rnacentral:rRNA from 1 species